UCACAUGCAUGGACUUAUGUCCUAGUUAGGACAGCUGAGACCAGUUCAUCACUGGAUGGGUGUAACCCAAAACUGUGUAUUCUAUAGCCUUCCAUGCCAUUUCCCAGAAACUGUUAUCAAUGAACCAUUUACACCAU